CUCCGGAGAGGCCGCGCUUCCUGACCCGGUCCCUCUGCACCAACGUGGGUGGGGGAGGGGCACUCACCCUUUCAGCCCAGGCAUUUGCAGGCUAAUCGGGCUGGUUCUGAAAAGCUGUUCCUGAACCAUGCCUCGCUUAUCGUAGGGACAAGGGGGCUUUAUUUUCGUGUGUCCAAUUCGUGCGCUGCAGCAAAAUGGCCCUUCAGUCUCAUUUUGAGGGGUUCUCGGCAGGGUUCAAUUGCUUUAGCGCUGAAAAAAAAAAUCCAGAAGGGAAAAAAGAAAAGAGUGAUGCCCUCCCUCCCCCAUUAAUUAUUUGUGGGGUUGGAGUAUCGCGGGCUGGUGCAACCGGUGCAUAUAAGGACUUGUGUGGAGGGAAGAGGAUCCGCCUCCAGCCGCGGAACAAAUCGGGGAGACGCGCACUCGCGCAGGGCGCCCAGCCCCGGGCUUCUCCAAAUUGCAACUGCCGCUGGGUCGAGACCGCCAGGGCCCCCGGGAUCCUGGAGGGCAGUUAUCGAGGGCAGGUCACUCGCCGCCUCAGGGUUAGGAAGGUUUGCCAGAAGCGGGAAAGCUAGAAGAUCUGAGCUUCCUUUGGGCCUCGCCACACCCAGAACCUACCCAUGCCGCAAUUCCCGCACGGAAACGACCGAAUUGAAACGAGAAUUUUUCUCCGGGUGCAGUGACUUGACUGCUUCAGGUAACUCCGAAGCCAACACUGGCUAAGGCAGCACGCGCCGCCUUAGGACCCAGCAUUUUCCUUUCAGGAGGCUUUUCCGCUGCUGACCUACCCAGACUGAUAGAGAAAGUUUGGCUGUCGGCUAAGAUGUAACACAGAAGACGUAUGGCUGAGAGCGAUUCCCCUCCACCCGCUUUCUCCUCUAAAGGCUGAACGUUUACAGUGAUUAAUGUAUUGUCUCAGUGUGGAAAGAAAAUAAUUAAGAUCCAGGUAUUGAGAUCUGUGAACAGAACUAUUUUUAAAACUCCAAGCAUGAAAAAUGAGGAAACAUAAGUCACUACUGUGGAUGGAAAGCUAACCACACUUGCUUAAAAAAGAAAAAAGAAAAAGAAAGAAACCAUUAAAAUAAAUACAAUGAUUGUUAGAGCUGUUCCUUGGGUUUUCUGCCCAUUGGUAUCCAAAGGGUGAUAGGAGUCUGAAAUUAGAACCAUAGAAGGCACUUUCACAGAAACCUGGAAGUGAAGAAAAAUGGCAACAGACUGAAAACUGUUAGUCAUCAUUUGUACCAAUCAUGGCACCCCAACCAAAAGGUGCUUCCAGCUGUGAGCUGACGACGUCAUCUCUUACACCUCUUCCUGAAGAUCGCUGACAGCCACGCUCUCCAUGGCAGGCACAGAAUUAGCCUUUUCCAUCUCUUGUAUACAGCAGUUGUGCUCUCCCUCUUUGUGCUCCUGCCAUUGUCGUCAGAAGAAAAUGGCCAACCCAGUGGUCUGAGGAGGAGGAGGAGAGAUCCAUGAAGCACAUGUGGAUGUAUAUUCAACCUAGAGCACCUGACCCCCAGCCCACCACCAGAUGUGCAAACAAGAGUAAGUUUAAAGCUCCUGGAUUUUGAAGCUCUCAAGCAGCAUCAUUGUGACAAUAGGUUACUAUUUUACAGGGUUAGUUGAAAGAGAGGCUUAAAGAACAUUAAUCUACAGA